UUUCCGUAGGUGAACCUGCGGAAGGAUCAUUACCGAGUGAGGGCCCUUUGGGUCCAACCUCCCACCCGUGUUUAUUUACCUUGUUGCUUCGGCGGGCCCGCCUUAACUGGCCGCCGGGGGGCUAACGCCCCCGGGCCCGCGCCCGCCGAAGACACCCUCGAACUCUGUCUGCAGAUUGUAGUCUGAGUGAAAAUAUAAAUUAUUUAAAACUUUCAACAACGGAUCUCUUGGUUCCG
rnacentral:misc_RNA from 1 species